rnacentral:rRNA from 1 species
AUUGAACGCUGGCGGCAGGCCUAACACAUGCAAGUCGAGCGGUAGAGAGAAGCUUGCUUCUCUUGAGAGCGGCGGACGGGUGAGUAAUGCCUAGGAAUCUGCCUGGUAGUGGGGGGAUAAACGUUCGGAAACGAACGCUAAUACCGCAUACGUCCUACGGGAGAAAGCAGGGGGACCUUCGGGCCUUGCGCUAUCAGAUGAGCCUAGGUCGGAUUAGCUAGUUGGUGAGGUAAUGGCUCACCAAGGCGACGAUCCGUAACUGGUCUGAGAGGAUGAUCAGUCACACUGGAACUGAGACACGGUCCAGACUCCUACGGGAGCAGCAGUGGGAAUAUUGGACAAUGGGCGAAAGCCUGAUCCAGCAAUGCCGCGUGAGUGAUGAA